UGGGGGAUAUUGCACAAUGGGCGAAAGCCUGAUGCAGCGACGCCGCGUGGGGGAUGAAGGCUUUCGGGUUGUAAACCUCUUUCGCUAUCGAACAAGGCCCGCUUAGGGUGGGUUGAGGGUAGGUGGAGAAGAAGCGCCGGCUAACUACGUGCCAGCAGCCGCGGUAAUACGUAGGGCGCGAGCGUUGUCCGGAAUUAUUGGGCGUAAAGGGCUUGUAGGCGGCUUGUUGCGCCUGCUGUGAAAACGCGGGGCUUAACUUCGCGCGUGCAGUGGGUACGGGCCGGCUUGAGUGUGGUAGGGGUGACUGGAAUUCCAGGUGUAGCGGUGGAAUGCGCAGAUAUCUGGAGGGACACCGAUGGCGAAGGCAGGUAACUGGGCCAUUACUGACGCUGAGGAGCGAAAGCAUGGGUAGCGAACAGG
rnacentral:rRNA from 1 species